rnacentral:ribozyme from 14 species
AAGAAAAGAAACAGUCGGGUGAAAAGAGCGAGGAAGAGGAGGGUACAAAUAUUGUGAUAUUGUGGUUUUUCUUUUCUUUUCAUUUCUUUUCUUUCUUGUUCUCUUCU